rnacentral:rRNA from 1 species
CUACGGGUGGCUGCAGUGGGGAAUAUUGGACAGUGGGGGAAACCCUGAUCCAGCAAUGCCGCGUGUGUGAAGAAGGCCUGCGGGUUGUAAAGCACUUUCGGUUGGGAGGACUGCUUCUAGCACUAAUAUUGUUGGAAGUUGACGUUACCUUCAGAAGAAGCACCGGCUAACUCCGUGCCAGCAGCCGCGAUAAUACGGAGGGUGCAAGCGUUAAUCGGAAUUACUGGGCGUAAAGCGCGCGUAGGCGGCUAGUUCAGUCGGGGGUGAAAGCCCCGGGCUUAACCUGGGAACUGCAUCCGAUACUGCCUAGCUUGAGUACGGGAGAGGAGAGUGGAAUUCCACAUGUAGCGGUGAAAUGCGUAGAUAUGUGGAGGAACACCAAUGGCGAAGGCAGCUCUCUGGCCUGAUACUGACGCUGAGGUGCGAAAGCGUGGGGAGCAAACAGGAUUAGAUACCCUAGUAGUC